GGAGCAGUUAGGGCAGAACUUAGUGGGGCCCAACACCUCACAUUUAUAGAAGUCAUGCUGCUCCGGGGUCCUCUUGAGUCUGGAGAGGUGGUGCCAGGACAGGUCGUCAAGCUGGGGUCGCCAAGCAGCUUGGCCGCAGUGGGGGCUGUGAGGAUUACAGUGUGAAGUCCUGUCCACCUAGGCUCCAAGGCU